rnacentral:lncRNA from 1 species
AUUGCUGUUAAUUCAAGGAAAAAAGGUUGCAUAAAAUCCAAUCUUUUCUAGAAAUAUAAGUGGCCUUUCCAGUACAUAACAUUUCAAAUAUCAAAGUAUAUGGUAAACAUACAAAUAAGGAGAAGGUAACAUACCUCCUAUAUACAGUACAGUCUUUUAAAUCAUAAAAUAAGCUCCAUAAAGUACAACUGGCAAGUGAUUCACAAUGCGGUCCAUACAGGGCUUAUCAAAACUCUCACUUCCAUAGCUCGAUUGCAGCUUAACAAUUAAUUUAAUAAUAUGGUCCAAAAAUACCCGCAAUCUGUUAGGUUUCUGAACCAAGGCCAGAUAUUUAAGUUCCUCUGCCGCACACCAACGUGACCCCACAGAAACACCCGCCAUCUCUGCUCUGUACUGAGGAUGGGGCGUAGCACACCCAACCCCCAGCCCUCACACCCGCGGCUCAACGCCGGGGGCUGCUCCGUGCCGCCGACGGCAGGGGUCCAAACCCACACCCCAUCUUCCAGAUAACCUCAGUGCACUUUA